UACGUAGGUGGCAAGCGUUGUCCGGAUUUACUGGGCGUAAAGAGCGCGCAGGCGGUCGUUCAAGUCGCGUGUGAAAGCCCCCGGCUCAACUGGGGAGGGUCACGCGAUACUGAUCGACUCGAAGGCAGGAGAGGGAAGUGGAAUUCCCGGUGUAGUGGUGAAAUGCGUAGAUAUCGGGAGGAACACCAGUGGCGAAGGCGGCUUCCUGGCCUGCUCUUGACGCUGAGGCGCGAAAGCUAGGGUAGCAAACGGG
rnacentral:rRNA from 1 species